UGCCAUUUUGUACAGAGCAGUGUGCAACAUGAAGCAAAUUAUAGUAAUAUCCUUUCUCUUGAUGGGAUUGGUCGUUUUGGCCGGAACAGUUUCUGCCGAGAAAGUUGAAGAAAUGGAUAUCCCACAUUUCCUAGAGAAGCGCGCAUCGAGGGACUGCAGACAUAGGGAUCGUCAUUGUGACCGCAAGGACCGCUUCAAUGAAUGUGAGCGAGACCGGGAUUGCGAGCGUGGACGCGGCCGGGAACGCGACCGUGGCCAGUGCUGCUUCGAUGGGUGUGGACUACGAUGCGAACGUUAA